UGGGGAAUAUUGCACAAUGGGCGAAAGCCUGAUGCAGCAACGCCGCGUGAGUGAUGAAGGCCUUCGGGUUGUAAAGCUCUGUCUUUUGGGACGAUAAUGACGGCACCAAAGGAGGAAGCCACGGCUAACUACGUGCCAGCAGCCGCGGUAAUACGUAGGUGGCAAGCGUUGUCCGGAUUUACUGGGCGUAAAGGAUGCGUAGGCGGAUUUUUAAGUGAGAUGUGAAAACCCUAAGCUUAACUUGGGGACUGCAUUUCAUACUGGAAAUCUAGAGUGCGGGAGAGGAGAAUGGAAUUCCUAGUGUAGCGGUGAAAUGCGUAGAGAUUAGGAAGAACACCAGUGGCGAAGGCGAUUCUCUGGACCGUAACUGACGCUGAGGCAUGAAAGCGUGGGUAGCAAACAGGAUUAGAUACCCUGGUAGUCCACGCCGUAAACGAUGAGUACUAGGUGUAGGAGGUAUCGACCCCUUCUGUGCCGCAGUUAACACAAUAAGUACUCCGCCUGGGAAGUACGAUCGCAAGAUUAAAAACUUAAAAUGAAUUGACGGGGGUCAUAGCUGUUUCCU
rnacentral:rRNA from 1 species